GGCAGGAAACAAAGGGCAGGAAACAAAAGCAAAACAUGCAAUUCUAAUGGAUAAAAAUAAUUAAUUACAUAAAUAAGAGAUUAAAACCAAUAUCUAAGAAAAUGAUCCAAAUAUUUUGCCAAAUAGAAAUGUCUUUUUUUUUUAAAGCAGUCAGUGGAUUGUGGCACCCUCAGUGUGUCAGGGAGGGUGUUCCAUAGACAUGGAGCAACGUGGUCCUCAGGUUUUGGGGAUCUGGAGAAGGUUUGAGUGGGUGCAGUGGAGUGAGCAAGUUGUGUUUUGUAGACUAAGUAGACUAAGUAGUUUUUUGAUAUAGGUUGGGGCAUUUCCAGAGAUGAAUUGAUGUUUGAGGAGGGAAAUCUUGAAUUAAAUCCUAGUGGAAAUGGAAAGUCAAUGGAGAGAGUGGAGGAUGGAAGUAAUAUGUUCAUGUUUGCAUAUGUUGCAUGAUAGCAGCUGCAGUUUUGGAAGUACUGAAGUCUCUGCAGGAACCCUCUUGCUAGGAAUCCCAAUGAGAAGUGUGCUGGAUUCAAAAGCAUGGACCAGUUUUAGAGAAGAGCUCUCACCUCUGCAAUCAAGUUAAUCAGGUCCACUUGCAUGCUGCUGCGCUGCAGCACAAUCAGGCUCAUGUCAUCCACCGUCUGCCUGCUCUCAGGUUUUUGAAAAACUUUAUUGUGAGUAGAUAUCCAACAUUUCCUCCUUUGUCUGACCACCAUCAUGACCACGUUUUUGUCUCUUGGAUUUCUUGCCUGGCUCACAUCAGAUACUCCACUGGCUUCUGUUUUCUUGACACGACCCUGUUUCUGCCUCUCAACUUCUGCCUCCUGGAUUAGAUUGCCUCCACGUGCCUGACCUGUUUCUGUGCCCUGACUCCGGAUUCUCAUCUGACCCUCAGAUAAGUUUACCUUCCUCUGCCUCCUUGGUUCAUCCCCUGCCGUGGCCUCUUGACCUCCAAGUUCUGAUUUCUCCUGGGUUUAUGACCUGCUACCUAACCAUUGUGCUACCAGUGUUGAUGCUCUGGAUCAAUCUCCACCAUCUUGCUGAGGUGUUCUGUUCUUAACAACCAACACCCCUAAAGAUGACGUCUCCCCCCUGCCUUCUCACCGCAGCCUUGUUGGGGAACCAAGAGUGUCUCAGUUUCCCACAGCAUUUUGAGAAAGUUAGUGGCUUUCCUUAUUGAGCUUUGGACACCAAGAGUACAAGCCACUAACCUGUUUCUCUGUCCUCAGUGGUUCCCGGCCCGACUGCUGGUGGUCUACCCUCGCAUACUCUUUUUCUCAAUAAAUCAUUUGAUUUUCUAUUGUGUCUGGCUGAAACUUUGGGUCCUCUGUCCUGAGCACUACAUCUAUAUACUUUGACCAGCUUCCCUACCCACACUAAAUGAUAAGAACAGGAGAUGCUAUGUUCAGAGUGAUGUGCAGACCUAGCUAAAAGUUUAGUUUUAUCCUCAUCUCACCAGAGCAUCUUCUUCCAUUCUUCUAGCUGUGACCUCUACAUGACUUGUAAAAAACUAGACUUCUUUUGUCUUUCAGCUAUGGAUUUUUUUUUUUUCUAUUAUCUUACAUGCUUAUCCCUAAUGGGGUCACCAGGGGUGCUGGUGCCUAUCUCUACCGGUCAACAGGACAAGUCCUUCCAGACGUGUCAAAGAGGACUAUGGAAAGGGUGUUAUUACCUUGUUCCCUUAACUGACUGAUCCUAGAAGCAGGUUUAGCUAUGAGCAUUAUUACAAUGCAGAAGAUGGGAGUGGGUAUCUGGCUUGGAGACUGAAGUUUGUCCAAAGGGAAGCUUCUAAUGGACGAAAGAAGGGCCCCAGAAAGACACAAAUCCAAACAGAUGUGUGUAUUUAUAGUUGUACACAUUUUGUCACACAAAUCCUUGAAGAGUUCCCAAACCUCAUUUUAUUAAAUUCCAGGACAGUGUGUCACAUUCGUAUCAAUUUUUUAGAGGAACCAACAACUGAUGCACAGUUUUAUAGAAGACUGUCUUAUAACAGACAGCUUGUGUUCUGAGGCCACUACGCUGAUGAAGCACACAGCUGAUGAAGGAACUGUUAUGAGGAAGAUAGAACAGACCUUCAACAAUCACCAGAAGAUGAUUUACAACCCAGUGAAGUCAUCUAGUAUCUUUUUGAACUUCCCAAGAUUCCUGGACAUAGGAGGAUUGGUUGAGCAAGAUUUUACAUUGAUGUUCGGGGAAGCCAUCUCUGCAAAGUUCCUGGAGAAGUGGCCCACUGUCUACAAGCAGAAAGUCCUUGAACAAAGCUGUGGUCUCACACAGUCUGACGACAAUCAGUGCUGUUAAGAAAAUAAAUUUAGAAUAUGAUAGUUUUAAAACUUAACAUGUCUUGAUUGAAAUAGCCUAAUUA